GCAGUUUUCGGGGGACUGAUUGCUGUUGGCAAAUGGUUUGAUCAGAUUUGCCACUGGAAGAACCCUAUUACAACUGUUCUGAUACACAUCUUGUUCUUGAUACUGGUACUAUAUCCAGAACUAAUACUACCAACCAUUUUCCUCUACCUCUUCUUGAUUGGAGUUUGGUACUACAGAUGGAGGCCAAGACAUCCUCCUCACAUGGACACCCGCCUCUCUUGUGCUGAUAAUGCACAUCCUGAUGAACUGGAUGAGGAAUUUGAUACCUUUCCUACUUCACGUCCUGCCGAUAUUGUUAGGAUGAGAUAUGAUCGUUUGAGAAGCAUUGCUGGGAGGAUCCAGACUGUGGUUGGUGACUUGGCGACUCAGGGGGAGAGGCUGCAAUCUUUGCUAAGCUGGAGAGAUCCUAGAGCUACAGCACUGUUUGUAAUCUUUUGUUUGGUUGCUGCUAUUGUUCUCUAUGUUACUCCUUUCCAGGUUGUGGCCCUUCUUACAGGAUUUUAUGUUUUAAGACAUCCAAGGUUUCGUUACAAACUGCCUUCUGUACCGAUCAAUUUCUUUAGAAGAUUGCCAGCAAGAACGGACUGCAUGUUAUAAGCACAAUUACCCUAUUUUGCUAUUGCCUUCGAUUUUGUUGCAUCGGUUGUGCUCUUUUGGUCCCCAAGAAGAUAUGAGAAACUUAAAUUCGUCUUCCACCAAGCAUUGAGUGGUUUCGUUGUAUAAGGUGUAUAUCUCUUAUGAAGCUAGAAGUUGCUGAUUUGUGGUUUAAUAACUUCUCUUGCAUGUUUAUUUGUUGAAAAUGUAUGACAGGAGUAUGCACAUGUUAAAUUUCCUUGUAGAUUUGUAUUUUCUUGUUAAUCUCUUUUGGACAUCGUUAUCGUUGAUAAUAUAUAACUAGUUGGUUCUUAUACAUAUGUGAAUUAAAUAUUGCAUGUCCGGGAAUUAUACUGUUGGUAUAAUUAGUUGUACAAUCAGUUAAUAUUUAUUGGAUCAUUUUGUUUAAGAAAUAUGCCUGUAAAAUUGGUGAUUCCAUCCAACAUUGUACUUUAGUUCUCAUCCUGUUAUUUUAUUGCCCCGGUUGGGAGGCAAUUGCAGUGAAAGCUGUGACCAGCUUCGGAAUAGAGUUUGUGUUGUUUGUGAGACUAUCAUCUUCUAUUCUUCUGCGUAAUGCAGUGGUUGGUUGUUAUUAGUUGCUACUGGUUGUUAAGGAGUGUUGAACAUCUGGUAGGUUGAAUUGUUGGAGGGUAUAUGCCAGGAUUGUAGUCCAGUGGUGCAAGAGUUGAGGGCAGGAGGUCGAGGAUCAACGGAAGUUCUUGAAGUGGUCGGUCGAGGAUUCGAGACAAGGGUGUUUGAGUUAUUGAUAGCGAAUUGCAUGCUAAUUUUUUCAGCUUCUUUUUCCCUGGGAGCAUGCUAGUUUCAUGCUGCUCCCGGAGAAAUCACUUUAUCAGUAUGCAGCAGCUUCGCACAUUGCUGUGGCCUGCGGAAGCAAACUCCUAUUCCUAAAAUAAAAUAAUAAAUGAUGGUAAAUUAAAGAAAUAAUGGUAGGUGGGAUAUUCUUUUGUAAAUAUAUAAUACUACGACUUUUCUAUUAGAAUUUUAUUACACAAAAAAUAUUUUAGCAAGAGUUUAGAUUUGUUAAAGAGUAUACAAACAACCUAGAUCCAACACAGACAGACAUUCCCUGUUAAAUCAUCACAUUUACACUCUAAUUUGAGUUGCCAUGUGAGUAUUAAAGAAUAUUCCCGUGUUUCAAAUUAGAGAUUAAAACCUACAGAUUGAGAUCAUAGAGAUUUAAAUUGGACAUGAAUUCUGCUCUUCAUAUUUUAUGCCCCAGGAAAAAUAUUAUCACCUGUAACUAAAUACUACAAGGGUGCAUUACUUCAUAUAUUAGAUUAGUGAACUUUUUCUUUUCGUUCGGAAAAACAAAGAUUUUCAUUUCAACAUAAAGUCCAUGUAAAACUGGGCAAAGACGAUAGUUUCCUAGAUUUUGUGAAAUUUCUCAUAAUCAUGUAUAUUUAUGGCAAAUCUAGUUGAGUAUAAAAAUCUAUCUUUAGAUUUUCAAAGUCUAUAAUAAAAUUUAGUUGGAUAUCUACAGCAGAACCUCCAUAAAUAAUAAUUUUAUAAUUAUAUUUGAAAUGAUUUAUUAACCUUUUAAUUUUGAUAAAUUACGAGUUACCAAUAUUUGCUCGAUUGCGAAAAAAUUGAGAUUUCCUGUAUAGCCGUUUAAGUAAUAAAGAAAAAAAGAAGUGGGGCCCAGAGGAAAAGCAAAAGAAUAUCUGUACAUAGGUAUGGCAACGGGUCGGAUCGGGUCGGGUUUCUUGAGAUCCAGACCCGAUCCAUUAUAUUUCGGGUCGGGUCGGAUUCGGGUCCGGGUCCGAAAAAUGAAGAUCCAGAUCCGAUCCGUCGGGUUUUUUCGGGUUUCGGUUCGGGUUCGGGUCUAAUUCGGGUAUUUUAAAAAAAAAUGAAAUACAAAUUAAAAAUUAUAUAUCUAUAAAAAAUGUGAUUAUGGAUUAUUUUUUUUAACUUUAGAAAUAUAAAAAAGGGAAUUACAGGCUUCAUUUAUUACAAUAAACACGUGAAACAUGUUAACUCAAUUGUAUACAAUCAUUCAACCUAUCAUUUAUAUUUUAUUAUUUUUAUUGUAUAUAGAUUUUUUAAUGCACAAUAAUUAAGUAAAAUAAAAUAUUGAUGAAAUAAAUAUAAAUUCUAUAUUGCAAAUAUAAAAUUAAGUGAAAUGUUAAUAUUCAUACCUAAUAAUUCAUAAUAUUUCAAUAUAUAUACUUUACAUUCAACAUAUAUGUAUAUAUAUAUAUAUAAAAUAUUUUGUAUCGGGUUUUUAUCGGGUUUCGGGUUCGGAUCGGGUUUAAAUCGGGUUUCGGGUCGGGUCUCGGGUCGGAAUACCUGAGAUCCAGAUCCAGAUCCAAAUUUUUUCGGGUCCAAAAAUAAGAUCCAGAUCCGGAUCCAAAUCCAAAAAAAUCGGGUUCGGGUAGACCCAAUCGGAUCGGAACGAGUCGGGUAUCCAUCGGGUCGGGUAGAAAUGCCAUCUCUAUCUGUACACCUGUGAAAAAACAAGAGUAAUAAAAUAAUAAUAGAGAGUGUGUUUUGUCUUGUAGAUAGACAAAGGUUCGGUGCGCUCUUGCAUCUCUUUCUCUCUCAUUUCUACAUCUCUCUCUCUCUCUAAAACUCUCUCUAGGUUUAGUUUUCUAUCAGAAUCUGUAAUCUCUGCUUCCAUCUCAUCACUCUCAAUGGAUUCUCCACUAUGCUCUUGAGGUAUAUACACUCCUCUCUCUCUCUCUCUCUCUCUCUGUGUGUGUGUGUGUGUGUUUAAAGAGCUUUAUUCUGUUCUGUUUUGAAUCUUGCUAGUGCAUUCUGAUUUACAUCUUCAUAGAUUCAUAUGUUUAUUUUUAUAGCGAGACUUAUGUGUUUGAUUUUGCUCCGCCUACAUAUUUACUUGCUUUUUUCUGUUGCUGUUGUAAUUCUUAAUUAAAGCACUAGGCACAAAAUUAAAAAAAAUUAAAAAAAAAUCAAUUAUGUCAAGUGUUGUGUUUAAGUGUUCUUGUUAAAGCUCUCAUCUCGCUUAGACAUUUUGGAUGUACAAUGCUGAGUUUUUGGCAUAGAUGUUCAAGUAUACAGAUCCAAUGGUUUCAAAAAGGGGAAGUAAUCGAUUCGUGUGGUCCUGGUUUAUUUUGCUAUUUUCGUGUUGUAUCUAAAUGAGAUCUGGGUUUUUUGUAUUUGGUUUGAGGUUUUCUUGCUUCUUUGUUUAGUAGGUAAUUCUUUUCGAGUUUCGUGUGUUUAGGUAGCGACUUCAACGUAAAGGGAGCUUACAUUUGGGGUUGAGUUAUUGGGAAAUAUUAAUUUCUGGAGCAAAGCUGCUUUCUUUACCAGUGCUGCCACUUGGACUGUUGUCUCACUCUUUGCGGUUUUAAACAUUUGGAAGAUUAAGCAAGUGAAAUGAUGCAGAGACCUCCCCAUGAAGACUUCUCGCUCAAGGAGACCAAACCCCACCUUGGUGGUGGGAAGGCUACUGGUGAUAAGCUCACAAGUACGUAUGACCUUGUGGAGCAAAUGCAGUACCUAUAUGUUAGAGUUGUAAAAGCUAAAGAUUUGCCUGCCAAGGAUCUUACUGGUAGCUGUGACCCGUACGUGGAGGUUAAGCUGGGAAACUACAAGGGCACCACACGCCAUUUUGAGAAAAAAUCAAAUCCGGAGUGGUUGCAGAUCUUUGCCUUCUCCAAGGAUCGAAUUCAGGCCUCUGUACUGGAAGUAACUGUGAAAGACAAGGAUGUGUUGAAGGAUGAUUUCAUGGGUAGGGUUCUGUUUGACCUCAAUGAGGUUCCCAAACGGGUUCCACCUGAUAGUCCUCUCGCUGCACAGUGGUAUAGGCUGGAAGAUAGGAAUGGGAAUAAACUUAAGGGAGAGCUCAUGUUGGCCGUGUGGUGGGGUACCCAAGCCGACGAAGCAUUUCCCGAAGCAUGGCAUUCAGAUGCAGCAACUGUUAGUGGUGCUGACAGUCUUUCAAGCAUUCGCUCAAAGGUGUAUCUCUCACCCAAGCUUUGGUAUCUAAGGGUCAAUGUGAUUGAAGCACAGGAUUUGAUUCCCACCGAUAAGACGAGGUUUCCGGAUGUUUUUGUCAAGGCUCAACUAGGAAUUCAAACUCUAAGAACAAGAAGUUCUAUGAGCAAAUCGAUCAAUCCAAUGUGGAAUGAAGACUUGAUGUUUGUGGCUGCAGAACCAUUUGAAGAGCCCUUAAUUUUGAGCGUGGAAGACAGAGUUGCUCCAAACAAGGAUGAGGUUCUAGGACGGUGUGCUAUUCCCUUGCAGUACGUGGACAGGAGGUUAGACCAUAAACCCUUGCAUACUAAGUGGUACACACUUGAGAAGCAUGUCAUUAUUACUGAGGGAGAUAAGAAGAAGGAGAUUAAAUUCUCAAGUCGGAUUCAUAUGAGAAUCUGUCUGGAAGGCGGUUAUCAUGUAUUGGAUGAAUCCACACAUUACAGUAGUGAUCUUAGACCGACUGCAAAGCAGUUGUGGAAGUCCAGCAUUGGGGUUCUUGAGGUGGGUAUCCUGAAUGCUCAGGGUUUAUCACCGAUGAAGACAAAAGAUGGAAGGGCAACAACAGAUGCUUACUGUGUUGCCAAGUACGGGCAGAAGUGGGUCCGAACACGGACGAUCAUAGAUAGUGCUGCCCCCAAGUGGAAUGAACAGUAUACCUGGGAAGUUUUUGAUCCUUGUACCGUUAUAACUGUUGGAGUGUUUGAUAAUUGUCAUCUUCAUGGCGGGGAUAAGGCUGGUGGAGCAAGGGAUUCGCGGAUUGGAAAGGUCAGAAUUCGCCUUUCUACUCUUGAAACAGACAGGGUUUACACACAUUCAUAUCCGCUUUUGGUUUUGCAUCCAACUGGUGUAAAGAAAAUGGGUGAAAUUCAUUUGGCUGUGAGGUUUACAUGCUCUUCUUUGCUAAAUAUGAUGAACAUGUACUCGCAACCACUAUUGCCCAAGAUGCAUUAUGUCAAUCCAUUAACUGUGAGUCAGCUCGAUAGUUUGAGGCACCAGGCCACUCAGAUUGUCUCCAUGAGGCUUAGUCGUGCUGAGCCACCUCUUAGAAAAGAGGUAGUGGAGUAUAUGCUUGAUGUUGGAUCUCACAUGUGGAGUAUGAGAAGAAGUAAAGCUAACUUCUUUAGAAUUAUGGGAGUUUUCGGUGGACUGAUUGCUGUUGGCAAAUGGUUUGAUCAGAUUUGCAACUGGAAGAAUCCCAUAACCACUGUUCUGAUACACAUUUUAUUCUUGAUUUUGGUAUUAUAUCCAGAACUAAUACUACCAACCAUUUUCCUCUACCUCUUCUUAAUUGGAGUUUGGUACUACAGAUGGAGGCCAAGACAUCCUCCUCACAUGGACACUCGCCUCUCUUGUGCUGAUAAUGCACAUCCUGAUGAACUGGAUGAGGAAUUUGAUACCUUUCCAACUUCACGCCCUGCUGACAUUGUUAGGAUGAGAUAUGAUCGGUUGAGAAGUAUUGCUGGAAGAAUACAGACUGUGGUCGGUGACUUGGCAACUCAAGGGGAGAGGCUGCAGUCUUUGUUAAGCUGGAGAGAUCCCAGAGCU
rnacentral:lncRNA from 1 species